rnacentral:tRNA from 1 species
CUUUGGCCGAGUGGUCUAAGGCGCCGGAUUUAGGUUCCGGUCCGCAAGGGCGUGGGUUCAAA